UACCUGCCGAGGUGGGUCGUCGUGGCCGUGCUUGAGCUAGACAGCCCGCCUCCUCGAGCAGGACAGGGCCGCCAGCUAGGUGCGCCAGUAGGAAGGACGGCGCCUUCCUGCCGUCGCCGUCGUCCAGACCGCGCCAAGGUGACCUGCAGCAAGGGAAGGAAAGGAGAAGGUGAGGUGGGGAGGGUGGAUCCGGGCGAGGAAAGAGGGGAAGGACGUACCUGCGACACACCGGUAACGGAUCCGUCGAGCUCUGGCCUCGCCGUCGCCGGAUGUGGCUGAUCCCGGCGAUGUUGGGGGUGGCGGCCGAAACCCUAGCUAGCCACGGGGACAGUGGAGGGCGGGAGCGCCGAUUCUGGACGGAGGGGGAGGUGGAGCGGACCUAGGGGAG
rnacentral:lncRNA from 1 species